rnacentral:rRNA from 1 species
UACGGAGGAUGCAAGCGUUGUUCGGAAUCACUGGGCUUAAAGCGCGUGUAGGCGGAGUGUUAGGUGUCGUGUGAAAUCCCCGGUCUCAACCCGGGAACUGCGCGGCAUACCGGCACUCUUGAGGCAGGUAGAGGUAAUUGGAACGACGGGUGGAGCGGUGAAAUGCGUAGAUAUCCGUUGGAACGCCGGCGACGAAGGUGAGUUACUGGACCUGUCCUGACGCUGAGACGCGAAAGCGUGGGUAGCAAACAGG